CACGUAGUUAGCCGGUGCUUCUUCUGCAGGUACCGUCACUUUCGCUUCUUCCCUGCUGAAAGGGGUUUACAACCCGAAGGCCGUCAUCCCUCACGCGGCGUCGCUGCAUCAGGCUUUCGCCCAUUGUGCAAUAUUCCCCACUGCUGCCUCCCGUAGGAGUCUGGGCCGUGUCUCAGUCCCAGUGUGGCCGGUCACCCUCUCAGGCCGGCUACCCGUCGUCGCCUUGGUAGGCCAUUACCCCACCAACAAGCUGAUAGGCCGCGGGCUCAUCCUGCACCGCCGGAACUUUCCACACCCCGAGAUGCCUCGGAGUGUCGUAUCCGGUAUUAGACCCAGUUUCCCGGGCUUAUCCCAGAGUACAGGGCAGAUUGCCCACGUGUUACUCACCCGUUCGCCACUAAUCCCCGGCCGAAACCGGUUCAUCGUUCGACUUGCAUGUGUUAAGCACGCCGCCAGCGUGUCCUGUAGCCAGGAUCAACUC
rnacentral:rRNA from 1 species